AACAUACCUCAUAGUACGGAAUAACUGCGGGAAACUGUAGCUAAUACCGUAUAUUCCAGAAAUGGGAAAGAUUUAUCGCUAUGAGAUUGGCCCGCGCAAGAUUAGCUUGUUGGUAAGGUAACGGCUUACCAAGGCUCCGAUCUUUAGCUGGUUUGAGAGGAUGAUCAGCCACACUGGGACUGAGACACGGCCCAGACUCCUACGGGAGGCAGCAGUAGGGAAUAUUGGACAAUGGGGGAAACCCUGAUCCAGCAAUGCAGCGUGAGUGACGAAGGCCUUAGGGUUGUAAAACUCUUUCAUCGGUGAGGAUAAUGACAGUAGCCGAAGAAGAAGGAUCGGCUAAUUCCGUGCCAGCAGCCGCGGUAAUACGGAAGGUCCUAGCGU
rnacentral:rRNA from 1 species